GGGAGAAGUUACAGAGUGCCCUGAAAACAGAGAUGUCCUAUCUAGUUGAGAUAGGACUUGAGGAUUUGGAAAUAUGAAGGUGAGACCGUACAAGAGGAGAGCAGCUGGAUGAGGUGAAUAAAAUGGCAAGACACACAGAUGCCGGGCGUUUAUAUUUCCUCCUGAAUCUGGGUCCAGGUGAUGGGAGCGGGGAGGUUGAGCAGUGGGGGAAUGACCUGCUGUCCAGGGGUUUGAGGGCUCCCCUCACUUAGGUCGUAGAGUGGCUCUGAGGAGGGAGCAGCAGUAGGUGUGAGAAGGGCCGUGAUUUGGUAGGGAUCGGAGCCUGGAACGGUGGGCCUGGCAGAGAGGUUUGGUAAAAUAUCAUCCCACAGGCGGGGUGGGACAGGUGGGAAUGGCUGGGAACAAACGAGUCAACGUCUGAGCUUUUAAUUGGUGUAGGAUCAGAGGGUUUUGAGAGGCCUGGACACAGUGCCCUCAUUUCUCCAACAGUAGUUGAGGCUAAAUUGAGGCUAAGUUUGCUGUCCUGAGAAAUGAAGAGUGAAAUGUAUCCCCCCGGACUGCUCAGAGGUGAGACGGCCUUGCCUUCUAUGGCAAAGCUCACCGGAAUGUGGCACGCGUGAUGGUUCCAGGGGUACCUGAACCCUCCGAGUGUUCAUCGUCUGGGGACCCACAGCCAGCCUGGGUCAUGACACAGAGGCCUCACUGCACGGAGCAGCGAGAAGGAGCCAGGGCCCUGUCCCCAGACAGCCCCGCACAGCCCAGCCUCCUGCCAGCCUGGACUCUGUGGGAGAGUGAGUUCUCGUCUACCUUGCUUCUUUUAGCCCUCCUCCUCCUCUGCCCUCCGCUUCUUCCUCUUCUUGUGGUACUGGGGAUUGAACCCAGGGCCUUUGCAGUGAGCUACACCCUCUGCUCAUUUCCUUCCUUCCUUCCUCUCUUUGCUCUUGCUAAGUCGCCCAAGCUGUGCUUGGACUUGACAGUCCUCCUGCCUCAGCCUCCAUUAACAUACACCUCAAAGCCUGCGCGACAGGAAAUAGCUGAAUCUCUCAUUGUACAGUGGCACCACUGGCUCUGCUGGGAGCUCUGUGCUGGCCCUGUGCAGGGAGUUGCUGGUGUGCGGCUGGUGUGCAGGGCUGCUGUCAGCAUUGCCUGCACAUGCACCUGGCCCUGUGAGGAGCUGGGAGAAAGCCUGGAGCGGUGGCAGACACCGCAGUUGCCUGAGGACUCAGUGGUGCCUGGGCACUGUCUCUCAUCUGAGCUGACAGGGGCCGAAGACACAGGGCUCCUGGGCUGCGCUGUGGCCUUCAGAGGUUCUGGUUGUGUGCUGGGGGUGGAACCCAGGCCCUCGAUGUUCGCCAAGCACAGCUCCUCCCUGAGCAGCACCCAGGCCUGCCCUGCAGAUCCUGGAUCCAGUGACACAGCUGUACCCUGGGAGCCAAAGGCCUGGGGACCCCCACCUGACCUGGCGCACAACCCCAUGCUGCCCGCGCAGGUGCCCAUGGGGUUGCACUCAGUAUCCUUGUCAUUUC
rnacentral:lncRNA from 1 species